AUGAAGAUACCUCUUAAGAAUAAAAUCUUUGCAUGGGAUCUUCGUAGAGGAGUCAUUCUUACUAAAUGUGACCUUAUUAAGAGGAAUUGGUAUGGAAGUCUGCAAUGUGUCUUUUGUCAUCAUGAGGAGACAAUAAAACAUUUAUUUUUCCAAUACAAAUUAGCUCGUUCUAUAUGGUCAGUCAGCCAAAUAGCUGCUUGCCUGUAUCCUCCCUGUAAUAUUGCUAAUGCAUUUGGCAACUGGUUACAUGGGAUUGAUCACAAGUUUAGAACUUUCUCAGGGUGGGAGCGCUUGCCAUUAUUUGGUCGUUUUGGCUAUAUAAAAAUGACAAUAUUUUUAGCAAUAAAAGUACUUCUCUGUUGCAGGUUAUCUACAGAUGUACCGGGACUCUUCAUUUAUGAUUCUCUCUACAACGCGUGGAGAAUCGUGACCUGUUUACGGGGGUGUGUACAUGAUUGA
rnacentral:rRNA from 1 species